UCGGGAAUUUUGGGCAAUGGGCGAAAGCCUGACCCAGCAACGCCGCGUGAAGGAUGAAGUAUUUCGGUAUGUAAACUUCGAAAGAAUAGGAAGAAUAAAUGACGGUACUAUUUAUAAGGUCCGGCUAACUACGUGCCAGCAGCCGCGGUAAUACGUAGGGACCAAGCGUUGUUCGGAUUUACUGGGCGUAAAGGGCGCGUAGGCGGCAUGACAAGUCACUUGUGAAAUCUCUGGGCUUAACCCAGAACGGCCAAGUGAUACUGUCGCGCUAGAGUGCAGAAGGGGCAAUCGGAAUUCUUGGUGUAGCGGUGAAAUGCGUAGAUAUCAAGAGGAACACCUGGGGUGAAGACGGGUUGCUGGGCUGACACUGACGCUGAGGCGCGAAAGCCAGGGGAGCAAACGGGAUUAGAUACCCUUGUAGUCCCUGAGCGGGCUGGCAAGGCGCAU
rnacentral:rRNA from 1 species